rnacentral:rRNA from 1 species
UACGUAGGGGGCGAGCGUUGUCCGGAUUUAUUGGGCGUAAAGAGCUCGUAGGCGGUUCGGUAAGUCAGAUGUAAAAACUCCAGGCUCAACUUGGAGAGGCCAUCUGAUACUGCCGUGACUAGAGUCCGGUAGAGGAGCACGGAAUUCCUGGUGUAGCGGUGAAAUGCGCAGAUAUCAGGAGGAACACCAGCGGCGAAGGCGGUGCUCUGGGCUGGAACUGACGCUGAGGAGCGAAAGCGUGGGGAGCGAACAGG